ACAGGAAGUGUGCCCCUCUCUCAGGCAGCUGCUAACACCUGUCUUCCUUCAACUCCCACAGACAACGGCCCUGUAGGGAAGCGGCACACGGGCACAGCCACUGUGUUCGUCACGGUCCUGGAUGUGAAUGACAACCGGCCCAUCUUUCUGCAGAGCAGCUAUGAGGCCAGCGUCCCCGAGGACAUCCCUGAAGGCCACAGCAUCGUGCAGCUGAAAGCCACGGACGCAGAUGAGGGCGAGUUUGGGCGUGUGUGGUACCGCAUCCUCCAUGGUGAUUGUGUACGUGGAGGACAUCAACGAUGAGGCCCCCGUGUUCACACAGCAGCAGUACAGCCAUCUGGGGCUUCGAGAGACCGCAGGCAUUGGAACGUCAGUCAUCGUGGUCCAAGCCACAGACCGAGACUCUGGGGAUGGUGGCCUGGUGAACUACCGCAUCCUGUCGGGCACAGAGGGGAAGUUUGAGAUUGACGAGAGCACAGGGCUUAUCAUCACCGUGAAUUACCUGGACUAUGAGACCAAGACCAGCUACAUGAUGAAUGUGUCGGCCACUGACCAGGCCCCGCCCUUCAACCAGGGCUUCUGCAGCGUCUACAUCACUCUGCUCAACGAGCUGGACGAGGCCGUGCAGUUCUCCAAUGCCUCAUACGAGGCUGCCAUCCUGGAGAAUCUGGCACUGGGUACCGAGAUUGUGCGGGUCCAGGCCUACUCCAUCGACAACCUCAACCAAAUCACGUACCGCUUCGACGCCUACACCAUCACCCAGGCCAAAGCCCUCUUCAAGAUAGACGCCAUCACGGGUGUGAUCACAGUCCAGGGCCUGGUGGACCGUGAGAAGGGCGACUUCUAUACCUUGACAGUGGUGGCAGAUGACGGCGGCCCCAAGGUGGACUCCACCGUGGUCUACAUCACUGUGCUGGACGAGAAUGACAACAGCCCCCGGUUUGACUUCACCUCCGACUCGGCGGUCAGCAUACCUGAGGACUGCCUUGUGGGCCAGCGAGUGGCUACUGUCAAGGCCUGGGACCCUGACGCUGGCAGCAAUGGGCAGGUGGUCUUCUCCCUGGUCUCUGGCAACAUCGCGGGGGCCUUUGAGAUCGUCACCACCAAUGACUCCAUUGGUGAAGUGUCUGUGGCCAGGCCCCUGGACAGAGAAGAGCUGGAUCACUACAUCCUCCAGGUUGUGGCUUCUGACCGAGGCACCCCUCCACGGAAGAAGGACCACAUCCUGCAGGUGACCAUCCUGGACAUCAAUGACAACCCUCCAGUCAUCGAGAGCCCCUUUGGAUACAAUGUCAGUGUGAAUGAGAACGUGGGUGGAGGUACUGCUGUGGUCCAGGUGAGAGCCACUGACCGUGACAUCGGGAUCAACAGCGUUCUGUCCUACUACAUCACCGAAGGCAACAAGGACAUGACCUUCCGCAUGGACCGCAUCAGCGGUGAGAUCGCCACAAGGCCUGCCCCGCCUGACCGCGAGCGCCAGAGCUUCUACCACCUGGUGGUCACUGUGGAGGACGAGGGCACCCCAACCCUGUCGGUGAGCGAUGGGGGUGGCCACAGGGAGGAGCGGGUGGGCCAGGGCAGCUCCGCCUCCGAGUGAGGGGAACAAGAUGGGUGGGAAUGGAAUUCCACACAGCAGGCGAAUCCUUGAC
rnacentral:sRNA from 1 species